rnacentral:rRNA from 1 species
GAUCCUGGCUCAGGACGAACGCUGGCGGCGUGCUUAACACAUGCAAGUCGAACGAGAAUCACUGGAAGGAGUUUUUCGGACAACGGAAGGUGAGGACAGUGGCGGACGGGUGAGUAACGCGUGAGGAACCUGCCUUUCAGAGGGGGACAACAGUUGGAAACGACUGCUAAUACCGCAUGACACAUAGAGAUCGCAUGGUUUUUAUGUCAAAGAUUUAUCGCUGAAAAGAUGG